rnacentral:rRNA from 1 species
GUGCCAGCAGCCGCGGUAAUACGUAGGGUGCAAGCGUUGUCCGGAUUCAUUGGGCGUAAAGAGCUCGUAGGCGGCUUAGUAAGUCAGGUGUGAAACCUCCAGGCUCAACCUGGAGACGCCACUUGAUACUGCUAUGGCUUGAGUUUGGUAGGGGUAAGCGGAAUUCCUGGUGUAGCGGUGAAAUGCGCAGAUAUCAGGAGGAACACCGAUGGCGAAGGCAGCUUACUGGGCCAAAACUGACGCUGAGGAGCGAAAGCGUGGGGAGCGAACAGGAUUAGAUACCCUGGUAGUCC